UUUAGUCUUCUUCACAACCCCUAUCUCACUCUCUCCACUCAUUUCUCCAAGCUCCAGCCUUAUUUCAUUGAGCUUCAAACCUCCUCCAAUGGCGUCCUCUGCAACCCUAAUCAACCGAAUCCUCACCUCAAACACGAUCCCCUCCUCGAUUCGUUGGUUCUCCUCCAGUCUCUACUAGAUUGUGAAGCCACCGCCACAGUGAUCUCAUGACGACAGGCUUGACAACCUACACCGCUCCAAUCUGUUCAUCGAAGAAGACGACGAAGCUCUCUACCCCUUUGAACCCGACCAUCGCAUCUGCUUGUAGACUUUUUUGAUGGCUGAUAAUUUAGUAAGUUUUCCAAGUUCAGUAUGAUCCGAUGGGAAAGCUACGAUCUAUAAAGCAAUAUCAGAUCAUUAAUCUAAAAAGUGAACUUGGAAAACACUACGAUCAGGUAUUCUGAUCAUAAAGCUAUAAUCAUUAAUAUAUAAAGCAUUAUCAUUAAUCUAUAGAGCACUACGAUCUUUAAUUAUCUUCUUGAUUAGGUAUUCUGCUAUAUGACCAGUGAACUUGGAUUCUUGCAACUUUGCAAGUAGAUUAAUGAUUAUGCAAUAUGUUUUAGUAAGAAUAUUUAUGCUUCAUCUGUCAUUGCGAGUGGAAAGCUUCAGUCGUCUAUAUCAAAUUCGGGAAAAAGUUGUCUGGCCAAAGAAGAUAAUCAAUUUGUGGAAUGAUACUUUUUAUAUCCAGAGGUAGUUCAGUGUAUAGGCCAUGGUUUCACUUGAUGUAAUUGAUAUCAGACUAUGUUCUUACGUUUGAGAAUAUUUUUUUUUUU